rnacentral:rRNA from 1 species
AUUCAAAAACAUUCUUUCCCAUGAACGCACCUGGUCUCAUCUCACCUGGGAAGUUAAACAGGGUCAGGUCUGGUUGGUACUUGCAUGGGAGACCAUCUGGGAAUACCGGGUGCUUAAAAAA